rnacentral:rRNA from 1 species
AUAUGUCGGAUAUUACGAACUACAGUUUAAAAUUCAAAGAUUUUGGCGGUGUCUUACAAAACCAGGGGAACCUGUCUCAUAACUCGAUAGUCCACGACUACCUAACCUCUUUUUGAUCUUCAGCAUGUGUACUGCCGUUGUAAGCAAACCUCUAAAAGUAUUGAGUAUGCUUAUAUGAUUAAUGUGCCAUUAACCCAUUUACAUCAGGUCAAAGUGCAGCUAAUAAAGAGGAGAUGAUGGGUUACAACCCCAAAAAAGAAAUGAACUAAAAGAUUAAAAAUUUUAUAAAAGUGGACUUGACUGUAAUAAAAAAAUAUCAUAAAUAAAUGAAUAUCUAUCUAAGACAUGCACACAUCGCCCG